rnacentral:rRNA from 1 species
UAAGUCAGUAGUGAAAUGACGGGGCUCAACCCCGUGUCCAUUACUGAAACUGACAAGCUAGAGAAUGUGAGAGGUAGCUGGAAUUCCCUGUGUAGGAGUGAAAUCCGUAGAUAUAGGGAGGAACACCGAUGGCGUAGGCAGGCUACUGGCACAUUUCUGACACUAAGGCACGAAAGCGUGGGGAGCAAACGGGAUUAGAUACCCCGGUAGUCCACGCCGUAAACGAUGGAUGCUA